rnacentral:rRNA from 1 species
UACGUAGGGCGCAAGCGUUAUCCGGAAUUAUUGGGCGUAAAGAGCUCGUAGGCGGCUCGUUGCGUCGGCUGUGAAAACCCGCAGCUCAACUGUGGGCUUGCAGCUGAUACGGGCGGGCUGGAGUUCGGUAGGGGAGACUGGAAUUCCUGGUGUAGCGGUGAAAUGCGCAGAUAUCAGGAGGAACACCGGUGGCGAAGGCGGCAUCCUGGACCAACACUGACGCUGAGGAGCGAAAGCCAGGGGAGCAAACGGG